CAUUAAAUGACUGAAAAUAAAUGUAAGUUUUGAUUUUUUAAAUCAAAUUAUAAUAGAUUAACAACUAUUUUUAAUGA
rnacentral:tRNA from 1 species